rnacentral:lncRNA from 1 species
AAGUACGAGACGAACUGAGGACCCCGUCGAGGACGGCGGUGUGGGGAAGACGAGCGAGCGACCCCAUUGGCCGUCCGGGGCGCGGUGAUUCCAAAGGCGUCAUUUUUCGACGGCUGGCGGUGGCGUUUGCUCAGCCCAGUUCUGGUACUGCGCAAUCCUCUCUCUCUCUCUCUCUCUCUCGACCUCCGCUCGAGUACGCACGGAAACCAUCUAUAAAUGGCUGAGAUCCGUCUUCCUUCGGGGUCUUUCCUCGCUUAAUGCCCCUUCCCACGCCUUCUCUUUCUCUCGCUGCCUCUCCCCUUUCGGCUCUCUCUCUGUCGGUUGAUUGAUCCUCUCUGGAGGCUUCACAGUUGGCUCAGAACCUGCAUCUGGGAGUCUCUUCCGUCGUCCUUCCUCGGGAUUCGCAGGAUCAGUUGCAUUUCCUUGUAGUCGAUUUCUCCAGGCCGGUGACCAGAUGAAGUCAAAUGUGAGUAGGUUUUGCUGAUAAUACGCCUCCAGCCGCACCAAAAAACUUUUACGUAGCUUGAGACCUUGCAGUCGAGACCAGGCCCAAUUCAAUGCACAGCGGGGAG